rnacentral:rRNA from 1 species
AGAGUUUGAUCAUGGCUCAGAUUGAACGCUGGCGGCAGGCCUAACACAUGCAAGUCGAGCGGUAGCACAGAGAGCUUGCUCUUGGGUGACGAGCGGCGGACGGGUGAGUAAUGUCUGGGAAACUGCCUGAUGGAGGGGGAUAACUACUGGAAACGGUAGCUAAUACCGCAUAACGUCGCAAGACCAAAGUGGGGGACCUUCGGGCCUCAUGCCAUCAGAUGUGCCCAGAUGGGAUUAGCUAGUAGGUGGGGUAACGGCUCACCUAGGCGACGAUCCCUAGCUGGUCUGAGAGGAUGACCAGCCACACUGGAACUGAGACACGGUCCAGACUCCUACGGGAGGCAGCAGUGGGGAAUAUUGCACAAUGGGCGCAAGCCUGAUGCAGCCAUGCCGCGUGUGUGAAGAAGGCCUUCGGGUUGUAAAGCACUUUCAGCGGGGAGGAAGGCGUUAAGGUUAAUAACCUUGGCGAUUGACGUUACCCGCAGAAGAAGCACCGGCUAACUCCGUGCCAGCAGCCGCGGUAAUACGGAGGGUGCAAGCGUUAAUCGGAAUUACUGGGCGUAAAGCGCACGCAGGCGGUCUGUCAAGUCGGAUGUGAAAUCCCCGGGCUCAACCUGGGAACUGCAUUCGAAACUGGCAGGCUAGAGUCUUGUAGAGGGGGGUAGAAUUCCAGGUGUAGCGGUGAAAUGCGUAGAGAUCUGGAGGAAUACCGGUGGCGAAGGCGGCCCCCUGGACAAAGACUGACGCUCAGGUGCGAAAGCGUGGGGAGCAAACAGGAUUAGAUACCCUGGUAGUCCACGCCGUAAACGAUGUCGAUUUGGAGGUUGUGCCCUUGAGGCGUGGCUUCCGGAGCUAACGCGUUAAAUCGACCGCCUGGGGAGUACGGCCGCAAGGUUAAAACUCAAAUGAAUUGACGGGGGCCCGCACAAGCGGUGGAGCAUGUGGUUUAAUUCGAUGCAACGCGAAGAACCUUACCUGGUCUUGACAUCCACAGAACUUUCCAGAGAUGGAUUGGUGCCUUCGGGAACUGUGAGACAGGUGCUGCAUGGCUGUCGUCAGCUCGUGUUGUGAAAUGUUGGGUUAAGUCCCGCAACGAGCGCAACCCUUAUCCUUUGUUGCCAGCGGUUAGGCCGGGAACUCAAAGGAGACUGCCAGUGAUAAACUGGAGGAAGGUGGGGAUGACGUCAAGUCAUCAUGGCCCUUACGACCAGGGCUACACACGUGCUACAAUGGCAUAUACAAAGAGAAGCGACCUCGCGAGAGCAAGCGGACCUCAUAAAGUAUGUCGUAGUCCGGAUUGGAGUCUGCAACUCGACUCCAUGAAGUCGGAAUCGCUAGUAAUCGUAGAUCAGAAUGCUACGGUGAAUACGUUCCCGGGCCUUGUACACACCGCCCGUCACACCAUGGGAGUGGGUUGCAAAAGAAGUAGGUAGCUUAACCUUCGGGAGGGCGCUUACCACUUUGUGAUUCAUGACUGGGGUGAAGUCGUAACAAGGUAACCGUAGGGGAACCUGCGGUUGGAUCACCU